rnacentral:rRNA from 1 species
GCAAUGCCCGAAAGGGUGACUAUGCGACGCCGCGUGAGCGAUGAAGUCCUUCGGGACGGUAAAGCUCUGUCAGGUGGGAUGAAUUUUUCGACCUUAACAGGGGUUGGAAUUUGACCGUACCACCAGAGGAAGCCACGGCUAACUCCGUGGCCAGCAGACCGCGGUAAUACGGAGGUGGCAAGCGUUGUUCGGAUUUAUUGGGUGUAAAGGGCAUGUAGGUGUCCUAGUAAGUCCUGGCUGAAAUCCUUCGGGACUCAACCGAAGAACGUGUCAGGAAACUGCUGGGAUUGAGUACGGAAGAGGAGAACGGAAUUCCCGGUGUAA